GCCAGGCUAGUAUAGGUAGUGCGAGCGGCUUACAUCCGCUAGGAGGUCUAAGAUUGGCCGCUUGGUU